UACGUAGGGGGCAAGCGUUGUCCGGAAUUAUUGGGUGUAAAGAGCGUGUAGGCGGUCCGGUAAGUCAGCUGUGAAAGUCAAGGGCUCAACCCUUGAAUGCCGGUUGAUACUGUCGGGCUAGAGUCCGGAAGAGGCGAGUGGAAUUCCCGGUGUAGCGGUGAAAUGCGCAGAUAUCGGGAGGAACACCAAUGGCGAAGGCAGCUCGCUGGGACGGUACUGACGCUGAGACGCGAAAGCGUGGGGAGCAAACAGG
rnacentral:rRNA from 1 species